rnacentral:lncRNA from 1 species
GAGUGCGGCUGGAGGCUGUCCUUGUUCGAGUCCAAAUGUCUGUAAUUAACCCUAUGGAGCUGUGUAAACAACUCUAUUUUCGUGCUAGAAAGACAGUGGUAAUAGACUUCUUGAGAUAACUGGAAGAAGAAGAAGAAUAAAAGAAUAAGAAGCACAGCACUUUUCAGGUGCGGUGAUUUCUGAAUUUUCCUCUGAAUAUAGUGUCACAGUUAUGAGUGGAAGAGACACCAGUGUGACCACAGGAAGCUUAUGGGGGGAAAAAAACAACCAAACCAGCCAGUGGAGCAGCAACAAAUGAGAUGGAUUCACUGCGACCACGGCAAAUGUGGCCAUUGGGAAACAAGGAAGGACAAAGAAGAAGAUACGUUGCGUUUGUACAGUAUGAAAAAGAAAACGUCACCAAGUAGCCAGAAAUUCUCCAUACAUGAUCUAGUCACUGAGUCAAAACUGUUAAACCUGCGAGAUUUAAGUUAGGCAUCCAAAUAAUCUUUAGGUACCUGAAGAAAAGCUGGAUUGAUCUUUUUCUAUUUAAGUUGUGAAAAAUUUGAUGCUCUGCAAGCAGAGAUACAUCAAAGACUAUUACAAUGCAUGUGACAAUCAUAAUAGGUCCAUGUGAUAUUUGUGUACUAGGCUAUCGGUAAGAAUUUACGUAUAUAAUAAUCUCGUGUGCUGACUUGAUGGGUCAGUUCCCCGUGGGAUCACCCGGAGGUUAUUGUUGUAAAUCCCCAGUGCAGAGGUUGAGAUAAUAAUACUUUCCAAGUUUAGCAUGCUUAUAAUCCACAUGUAGUUCAAUAUGUUUUAUCUGUUAUUUUUUUUCCUGAAUAUACAAAUGCACUUAAAAUAUUUACUGGAAGCUAGCUCAUCACUGAUUAAUUUUUAUUGUCUUUAAACUAGCUGAAUAAUAGAUGCUGAACGUAACACAUAUUUUUUAAGGUAAUUGCAAUGAAUUGUGAAAUAAAUGCAGUUUUAAAUAUCUGUUUUAUUAUAGAAGAAGAACUGUGGCUGUCUCUUUAGUCGCCCUGUUUAAGAGGAAUAACAGCAAUAGACUUAAGAUUGAGGAUUGUCCCUUGAGACGGUCGCAAAUAGAACCAAGGGAAUAAUUAAUCCUACUGCACUAGCACACUAAUUAGCAUCGUUUGAAUUGAUAGGACUUGUAGGUUCUCAGUACCUUUGAAAAUCUGUUUUUAUUGAGGUGUAUUUUAGCCUGUUUUUCCCACUUUAUGUAGCUGUCAUUCUCAAUAUAUUUUAGAUCAUAAUAGGAGGCAUCUAAGGCUGAAAUCCCAGUAAAAAGUCUAUAUAUCAUCUCAUACAUAUUGUCAAAAUUAAGAUAAAAAGGACUACAAAAAAUUCCAAUUGGCCUCAUUUUUCUCAGGUUUUCCAAGUUUUUGCAUCAAAUAGGUAAAUUGAAGUUAUGGAAGCAUCUAAUCUACUAAAGAAAGCACAAUAAUUCCGUAACUACAGUACUAUUUAGAGCAUUUAGUUAAACUUUGGGAUUAGUUUUAGACAUCCUAAAAUUCUCCCUGUUUAUGGGCAGCUAUGUUCUUAAAUGUGUGUGUGCUAUAUGAAAGUUUAGAGACAGCUAAUAGUUAUUGUUGAUAUAUCAGCUGAUAUAUCAUUGUUGAUAUACCACCUAGAAGUGGUAAAACUGACCUGGGAACCUGAACAAAUUGUUUGUUUGGUUUGGUUUUCUUUCCGGAGAUUGAUACAAAGUUACCAGGUUAACUAUAUUGAUACAUUUCUUCCUAAAUACAAAUUCUCCCCUGCACAUUGGCUGAUCAUUUACAAAAUAUUUACAAGAGGUUUCCUAAUCCACUGCAGGAAUAAAAAUGAACUACAGACCAUAACUUACAAACCAGCUAAAACCUUCUAACCAGAUCUGCAGUGAUCUAUCAGCAUUCCUAUCCAGCUUUGUUUGUGCACAUUUCCUAUUUUUGUUGCGUUAAGAGCAGUGUUUUUUCUGUGUUUGA